rnacentral:lncRNA from 1 species
UCCCAUUUCUUUCCCGUCCAGAUGAAGUCAACCUACAUCUUCAGGUAUAUCUCACAUAUAUAGUAUCGUUAAUGCAUCGAGCAACUGUUUUUUUCAACUGGUUUAUCGAACAUCGCAGCUACACCUGAGACAAGUUGAAGUUGAAGCUCAGCCAGAUUUGGUUCAGAGCAUCCCAAGAGGUGGCACCAGUGGGAGCCCUAGCAAAGAAAAUGACAAAAAGAAGGAUCCAGAUGACCAACCAAAAGAUAAUGGAGGUAUUAGAGGUUGUAAAACUGUUAGUUUGUUACAACUAUUUCAGUUAAAUAGUUUGCAUAUCUAGCUGAUCUAUUUGUGUAUAAAUACACCACCUUGGUAUUCAUUCAAGUCAAGCAAUAAUAAUUUCAGUUUAUAACUCUAUACUGUUUCUAUUUCAAUAUUUCACAAGCAUUCUUUCAUGGUAUCAGUCGCUAGUUAGUUACCUGGGCUACCUUUGUUGUGUUCGAUGAAUCCUGUUUCUCCAGCUGUGUCUGCCAAUCAGGCCACUCAGCCCACCUCUGCUCCUCAGUCCUCCUCUUCCCCUGCCCUUGAUGAAAGCCAGUUCUGUCGCGUGGUUCAGUCAUUUCCCAAACAUGACACUGUUAAACUUACCACAAAACGUUCGUUCAGUGGAAACACCAGCUAACGCUUAUUAUCGAAGCUUAUGGGCUUACCGAUUAUAUACAUGGGAUGAUCUCUGCCCCAUCCAAGUUUGUUCACGAUGCUGAAGGGAAGUUGGUUCCUAAUUCUGCUUUUCUUUUAUUUCAACGGCAAGACAAAUUGCUUGCUUCUUGGAUCUUAUCCACGAUCAGUGGAGAGUUUUUGUCCUCUUUUACAGGGACUUCUGCGGCUCACGAUGUCUGGAGCAAAGCCUGCAGUCUUUUCGGCGCAGCAUCCGGUGCCAAGAUUUCUCGUCUUAAACACGAGCUUCAUUCGGUCAAGAAGGGUCAUCAGUCUGUCAAAGAAUACCUGGGCCAAAUCAAGAAAAUUUGUGACUUACUUGCUGCGUCUGGCCAUCCUGUUUCGACUGAAGAACACAGACAUCGUUCUUGUGGGUCUUUCACAAGAUUUUGACUCAGUCGUCUCUGUGGCAUCUUUUUCACCGGAACCCCUGGCAUUAGAUCGGCUUAUGGAAAUUUUGCUCGAAU